rnacentral:rRNA from 1 species
GUACACACCGCCCGUCACACCAUGGGAGUUGGCUUUACCUGAAGACGGUGUGCUAACCCGCAAGGGAGGUAGCCGGCCACGGUAGGGUCAGCGACUGGGGCGAAGUCGUAACAAGGUAGCCGUAGGUGAACCUGCAGAAGGAUCA